rnacentral:rRNA from 1 species
GGACAAGUGACUAAGUGCACAUGGUGGAUGCCUUGGCGAUUACAGGCGAUGAAGGACGCAGUAGCUUGCGAUAAGCUGCGGGGAGCUGGCAAACGAGCUUUGAUCCGCAGAUGUCCGAAUGGGGAAACCCGGCCCGCAAGGG